rnacentral:sRNA from 1 species
GCUGGGCACAGUGGCAAAUGCCUGUAAUCCCAGCGGCUUGGGAGGCUGAGGCAGGAGGCUCCCGUAUUCAAAGCCAGACUCAGCAAUGGUGAGGCACUAAGCAAUGCAGUGAGAUCCUGUCUCUA